UCUUUUGUAGCUUACUGAUCAGAGCAUUGGAGUGUAAAGCCAAAAGUCCAGGGUUCGAUUCCCGGCGAGAGUG
rnacentral:tRNA from 1 species